rfam:Myotis lucifugus cont2.40155, whole genome shotgun sequence.
GAGACACCCUUCUGGGGCAAGACUGGCUUCAGUGGGGCUUUGGUGCUCACUGAGUCUGCCCCCUGAGUGUGUCCCU